AGUGGCAGAGUGGCUAUGUGGUUGGCUUGAAACCAGCCUACGGGGGUUCGAAUCCUCCCUUU
rnacentral:tRNA from 1 species